CAAUAGCGUAUAUUUAAGUUGUUGCAGUUAAAAAGCUCGUAGUUGGAUUUCUGCUGAUCGCUGUCGGUCUGCCGUCAGGUGUGUACUGGCAGUGUUUGGCAUCUAUUCGAGAUUGGGUGUCCACUUAAUUGUGUGCACUCGAUGUCGGAGCUAAUACUUUGAGAAAAUUAGAGUGUUCCACGCAGGCGCGUGCCUUGAAUACUGCAGCAUGGGAUAUUGGAAGGCCGAUUGAGCUUUCUUGUUGGUUCUCGGUUUGAUCGGAAUGAUUAAUAGGGAUAGUUGGGGGCAUUCGUAUUCAACUGUCAGAGGUGAAAUUCUUGGAUUUGUUGAAGACGGACUACUGCGAAAGCAUCUGCCAUGGAUGUUCUCAUUGA
rnacentral:rRNA from 1 species